UGUUGUCCAGAGCCCUUUUUCUGUUGUACUACUGGCAAUUAUAAUGAGCAGUGCAAUAUUAAAAGGGCAUUGGCUGGCA
rnacentral:pre_miRNA from 1 species